rnacentral:lncRNA from 1 species
UCUGCAUCGGUAUUUAAGUAUUUCGGGCAGGAGCAGUACAAUAGCUGGCCAAAGAGAGCCGGUUUCAGCAGAGCAUGUACUGCUAUAGUUGUAUGUGUGGUAUGUUAGCUAGACAGCAGGCCCAAGAGGCCUUUCUGAAUAUUUGUCUGACACUGAUAGAUAACGAAUGCUGGGAAUGUAAGGGACUGGCUCAUCUCUGAAAUAACACAACAGCCUCAAGCCGAAAAGUAUUUCACCAUUCCCAAAUGAAUUUCUACAUUUCGUCACGCUAUCUCCUAAGCUUGGUAGCCCUCUGUCUGACCAAACAGUAAUACCAAGCAAUCUGCAGGAACAGCCUUUAUCUGAACAUACCCAGCUCCCUUCCGUGUGCACACAUCCAGUGACACUGGGUGCAAACCUCAGGAAUCGAAAGUGAGACCCAGCAGCCUCCUCCCUCCAGCACUGGGCAGCCCUGAGCAGUUUCACUUCCCGCUUCCACUGGCCUGUGGAGCUGUCAGGAGUAGCUGCUCAGCCGGGCCUCACCUCGCCCUGCACGGAGACAUUGACAGAGGACCCGUUCAGUGCGGCUGCUGGCAUGUGCAAACACAUAGCUGGCCAUAAAAUGCUGUUCUUUACUUAGGCUUCCUUUCAGCCACACAGAACUGUCCUUAUCCUGGCCACAUGCUGGACACAGAUGCUGACAUCCAAGCACAGAAGUGCAAUGUUACUUAACUUUCAAAAAUUCAGAUCAGGGCCUUCUCUGAUAUUAAUAUUACGGCAAUAUUAGGAAAGCCUCAGAAUUCUGUUCAGAGGUCCCUGCUGCAGCAGACUGCCUCAGUGUGAGCACUCAGCAGAUGUCAUGACCCAGGACACAGGCUAUGGAGUACAGCACUCACCCCAGCACAGAAAUCCCAGAGAACCAGGUGCCCCAAGGCAACACAGAGGACGGAACCUUGUGUCUGUGACUGAAUCAGGAAUUGAAACCUGCUGUGGCUCAUUCCUCUUCAUUAUCUGCACAAGGAGGUCUGCAUGACUGGAAUGCAACGGGCAGAAGAGCCAAAACAUAUCUCCUGUGCAUGGCAGUCUUUCAAGUCUGAAAGUUGUCUCCAGAAAUAACAAGAAAAGAAAAUAAAAUUAGACUUUGUACCA